rnacentral:rRNA from 1 species
CUACGGGUGGCAGCAGUGAGGAAUAUUGCACAAUGGGGGGAACCCUGAUGCAGCAACGCCGCGUGGAGGAUGACGCAUUUCGGUGUGUAAACUCCUUUUAUAUGUCAAGAAAAUGACGGUAGCAUAUGAAUAAGCACCGGCUAACUCCGUGCCAGCAGCCGCGGUAAUACGGAGGGUGCAAGCGUUACUCGGAAUCACUGGGCGUAAAGGACGCGUAGGCGGGGUGUGAAAGUCAGGUGUGAAAUCCUACAGCUUAACUGUAGAACUGCACUUGAAACUUCUAAUCUAGAGUAUGGGAGGGGGAGAUGGAAUUAGUGGUGUAGGGGUAAAAUCCGUAGAUAUCACUAGGAAUACCUAAAGCGAAGGCGAUCUCCUGGAACAUUACUGACGCUAAGGCGUGAAAGCGUGGGGAGCAAACAGGAUUAGAUACCCGGGUAGUC